UUCAUAUAAAUAUGUGGACACAGGGAGCCUCUUUCCUCACUACAUCCAUCUCACGGCAAACAUGUUCUACAGCCGGAAUCUCUCUCCAAAGAUAGUCACGGUUCUUACUUCCAACCCCUCUCGCGAAACCCCGACGAUUGAUCUGGCAAGUGGUUUUGCUGCUGGCGGCGCAUCAUGGACGGGUAGCAACGGGAUGCCUUCUCACAUUCGCGUGCACGCUAGGGUUGAGAGGAGAUGGGGCAAUAGUUCUGCUUUGCUCUUUCAGAUUCACAGGCACUAGGUGAGCACGUCAUAUUGCAUUGUCCUACGUUGACUGGAUCUGCUUCAUCUUUUAUUUAAUUUUCUUUGCAGGAAACAAUUAGAUGAAUCUUUUAUUUAAUUUUUUGUCUGUCGUUGAUUUCAGUUACAAGUUACCCGGUACUAUCACCCCUUCUAUUUGGACAUGUAAAAGAGGUCUGCUUAUACUGAUCCACUGAUUUUGAUACAUGUUCAGGAUGUCGUAUCAACUGAAUCAUACCUUGCAAAGGAUUUAGUUUGACAAAGCAGGCUGGUAAUGUGCUCCACAUGUAUGAGAUAUUUGCUGAAUGAAUAGAUCAUGAUUUACUUAUUAUUUGCACUCAUCCACAUAGAGACUAAUGCCUCUUGUGGUUCUUAUGCAAAUCAUCCAACGAAAAUCCAAUAUAUGAAUACUCUGAAUUAUGUCUCUUAGUAUACUUAUUUGAUAAUUUGUCAUUUAUUCUAGAUUUGUGAUCUUGUCCCUCUUGCACCACGAGAAUCAACAGACUACUGACUUCUGGGGAUUAUGUUUCUGAUGGUAGAUCUCUGAGAUCUUCUGAAGUGAAUGGCUAUCGCAGCAUUGCAAAGGCAUUUUGGGCGUCCUUGCUUAUGAGAGACAUGUUGGAAUUUGACCUUGCAUUGAAGGAUAAGGAGGGAAUACUUUGAUUCCUCUCAAUCUCUCAUGUCAAAAUAGUAGGUCUCGGAGCACAGGUAUCCCAUACCUAUAAGAAUAGAUAUUGGUCUCAUCAUCCUUCUCUAUUUUCUUUUGUGUUACGGAAAAAAGUAGAAAGAUAUGCUGAGAAUUAUGCAAUCUGCCACUAUGCCUUUUGGUUUCACCGAAACUUUGUGCAUAGAAUUCUUCUUUAAUAGGAGGAAAAAAGUUUAUAGCCAAGCACAUAUUUCCCAGAUCUGUACGAUUGGUAUUUAUCUCCUCAUCCCUGUUAUUAUGAUUAUUUCUUGCCUUAUAGAAAGGAGUAGAAAGUAGGGGUGCCAACUGAUUUUUGUGAAUUAUAUAACCUACUACUAUGCCAUGUGGUUUUUUCUACUUUAUUGUCUUGUAGUUACUCGUGUGAUAUUCACUGUAGAUAUCAGUAUGGUUGGAAUGAUAUAUUGUGAUACAUGCUACUGUAGUUUAGCUACUUACAACUAUAUCUAGACCUUCCUCUUUCUUCAACUCACCAUCUCUUCUCUCAACAACCCUCUUGGUAUCUGAUAUUGAUCUCGCAUUUAUUCAUUGAUUUACUUCCAAAUUACUUGCAUGUGCAGUUAAGCUUUUAUGUACGCAGUUCAUCGCAUGUCUUAUAAGAAGUGAGUAGACAAUUUGGUACAGAAUCACAGGAAUAUAUUUCCACUCUUGGGCAGCGAGUUUAGUUCCAACAAAGCAAUCUUUGUACCAUUUCAUUAAAGUUCCCUUGGUUGACUUGUAGCACUUUUGCACAUCCUAUCAGGAGCUCAAGAAGCUAUAUGCAAGAUUAAAUGUUAUGGGUGGAUCAUCUAGCUAGAAGUUGUGCUAUGAAUUGGUUAUGUUGAAUUCUGACGCCUUUGUACUGAAUUGUAAGAAUCGUAACAUGGUCAUAUGAUUUUGUCACUGUAUGUAUGUAACAGUAAUUCGGCAGAUG